rnacentral:lncRNA from 1 species
GCAGAGUUGCCUGAUAUGUGAAACAUGAAAUAAAGCCUGGAAUUACUGCAAAAUCUUAAGGAGAAAGCAGAACCACGAUGUGGAGAGGAGGAGAGCUUCCCUGGGGCUGCCCUUCCUGAAGCCAUUUUGUCUUCAGGAUACUGAGCACAAGCCCCUUGCUGCUUGCUUGGCUCACGGGAGCGCCAGUCGUGGAGCUGCCCCUUGUUUCCCCCGGCGCACGAGCAAGUCUAAUGGAGCACCCGCAGCACACCUGCUCAGCUGUCUGAGAUGCUUCCGAAUUUUGCUUUUUGCGGAGGGAGCUGAGAGCUUGCCUCCUUCCGUAAGUCUGGGCACAGGGAAGGCGAGAGAAAUAUGGGCUGAACUUACUGUCGGCUCUCUUAAAAGCUUUUUAUUGUAGAUAAAAUGUGUGAUAAUGGUACCCAGAACUAUCAUUAUGGUUAAUUAAAGGUCUGUUACAUUUUAUAAUGUGAGGGUUUUAUUUUCUGGAGUUGAUAACAUGGCCAUAAAACCUUGCUUUAGGCAAAAUCUAGGUAUUCAAGGUCACAAUUUAGAAGUAAUUUUGAAAUUGAAGAAAAAACACCAAACCAGCAUAUAGUUCCUAUUAUUUCUGAGAUGUGGAAGUACAGAGGUAAUGAUUUAGACCAAAAAAAGGAACACCAGCACCUACGCACUGAUGAAAUGAUGAAAUGUUCAGUAUCGAUUGCUGUGGAAGGAGAAGCCUUCAGUUCUGUGACGGGCACAGAGGACGGGCUGGGGUAGCAGCUACCGGACGGAGGAAGCGGGGUUCGGGAAGCUGAGUGCUUGCCACAUCUUUCUUUGGGCUGAAAAUGCAGAGCCUGGUUCCAGGGACAGGACCAAGUCUGGAUGUAAAGACAGGAGUGCCACGAUUUUAGCACUGUUUCCAAAGAUAGGUAUUUUCAGCCUGUGAUGAGCAGAGCCUAAUGCACUGCUGACGGACUGGGAUGUCGCGGGGCGUUCCCACACCCCACCGGGGGGUGAAUCCCUGCAGCACCCGGAACCACCUGCGACUCCUCUGAGGGUCCCCAGCUUUGGAUGUGGGGAUGAAUGUUGGGAGGCUGUGAGGCUCUGUUGUUGGAUUCAUCCUCUCUGGUAUGCAGUCUGCCGUGGUUGGGAUUUUUACUUUGUUUUUUUUCUUUUUUUUUCUGCUGCUGGUGUGGAGAAGUAACGUACCUCACCCCCACUUAAGGAAAACUGAUGUUACUCUGAGCUCCUGCUAUAUUAAGUGUGUGCUUAGAAACCUAGGUGAGACGAGAAACCUCAGAUGAGGGUUUCCAUUUAGGUGCCAGGAGCUCUGAGGCAUGGAAGAUGAAGGCAGGUAUAGACCUGGGGUGGAGAAGCGAAGGGCAGGAGAUGGGGGGCCAGAGCCACCACGGGCUGGUGUGAGGGGCACGCACGUCAUGCCCCGUGGUGUGGGAGGCUGUGCUGCCCUCUCACCGUCGUGAAUGCCAUAGAAACUAAUCCUGGAAAACACCAACAGGAAGGAAAAAGCUUAGAAAUGCAUUAUCUAGAGAUAGAAAAGUUUCUAUCUGACGAUGGGAAAAAAACUAACAGUGAUUAACAGAGAAUCGUAUUAGAAUUUCAAAAGGCUUUUUGAGUUUAAAAAGCAUGAGUAAACAAAAAUAGAGACAAAUACCCAGAAUAUAAUCCUUACAAAUGUUGCUCUGCAUCUUUGUGAGGUGUUGCCAGCGAGCCUGGAUGCUGGGCCAGGACUGAAAACAAAAUUCUUCACCCACGUUUUGCAGAGCAGGGUGCUGUAAAGGCUCCGUCUGAGCUGGCAAUGGAUCUCUCAGGACCACGUCUGCGUGGCUUUGAGCGAAGAGCACAAUUAAAUUCUGAAGAUCUUCGAGGAAAGUAAGGUAUAUCAACGAGAUGGGGCACAGGCCUAGCUGCGUGUCUUCGAGCGGGUGUCGCAGGGACUGGAGCGGUGACUCGGAAGCACAGGGAGCUUUGUUCUGCCUGCGUGUUGUGCACUGACCUCCUCCGUCGGUCUCUUGUGGAGAGCAGGAACCGGGCUUGUCCCUCAUCUGCGGUGUCAUGUUCACCCUGAUUACUAAGGCUGCACUAAUUAAUGAGCUAGCAGAGGACAGAGAGCCGGAGAUACCAGGAGGAGCGCUCCUUGCGCGAGUGCAACUUUAGCCUUGUAUUCCUAAUUGCUAUCAGCUGCAAAUGUGACACGAGGAAAAUUCCGGUCUUUCAGAGAAUUUCAGCUGAGUGAAAUAAGAAUCAGAGUGGCUACAUGAAUAAUUCCUUUGUUCAGUUGUCUUUUAUAUUUAAAUCUUAGUUACAGGUCAAAACAAUGGGGACUGCAUGUCAGAGGAAAUGCUUGCUCACUGCCUUCCCACUGCGGCAGGGAACUUGCUAAUGUCAGGCUUGAGAGACAGCACACGGUUUCAGUAAAAAUGGGAAUUAGAAAUCAGAGCUCCAGACUCUGUCCAGUAAUCUUCAGCAAAACAUGGAGAUAAUUGGAUAUUAGAGGCAGUCGAACUGCAGCAGCUCUGCACAAGGCAAUUUUUUCCUUCUGUAAGCAUAAAUUAACGCGGGUCUCGUUCGCUGUUUUCCUGCCCAGACUGCUGCUGAUACCCAGCUGGCCUCUUCAAAGCUGGCCAGCACCGCGCUUCUCUUGCUGCGGUGAUGCGAGCUGGAAUUCAGACCUCCCCCAAAGGAUCCGUGCAGAAACUCUUACUAGGCUGGAAAAUUGGUUAUACAAAUAAAUCGGAAUGAAUGAAUAGAAAUAAAUGAGCA